rnacentral:rRNA from 2 species
UUGCCCUAGUAACGGCGAGUGAAGCGGCAACAGCUCAAAUUUGAAAUCUGGCCUUCGGGUCCGAGUUGUAAUUUGUAGAGGAUGCUUUUGGCGCGGUGCCUUCCGAGUUCCCUGGAAUGGGACGCCUUAGAGGGUGAGAGCCCCGUAUGGUUGGACACCAAGCCUCUGUAAAGCUCCUUCGACGAGUCGAGUAGUUUGGGAAUGCUGCUCUAAAUGGGAGGUAAAUUUCUUCUAAAGCUAAAUAUUGGCCAGAGACCGAUAGCGCACAAGUAGAGUGAUCGAAAGAUGAAAAGCACUUUGAAAAGAGGGUUAAAUAGCACGUGAAAUUGUUGAAAGGGAAGCGUUUGCGACCAGACCUUUUCGUAGCGGAUCAUCCGGUGUUCUCACCGGUGCACUUCGCUUCGUUUAGGCCAGCAUCGGUUUCUGUAGGGGGAUAAAAGCUUGGGGAACGUAGCUCCCUCGGGAGUGUUAUAGCCCCUCGCAUAAUACCCUUACGGGGACCGAGGACCGCGCUUUAUGCAAGGAUGCUGGCGUAAUGGUCGUCAACGACCCGUCUUGAAACACGGACCAAGGAGUCGAACAUUUAUGCGAGUGUUUGGGUGUUAAACCCUCACGCGUAAUGAAAGUGAACGGAGGUGAGAGCCCUUACGGGUGCAUCAUCGACCGAUCCUGAUGUCUUCGGAUGGAUUUGAGUAAGAGCAUAACUGUUCGGACCCGAAAGAUGGUGAACUAUGCGUGGAUAGGGUGAAGCCAGAGGAAACUCUGGUGGAGGCUCGCAGCGGUUCUGACGUGCAAAUCGAUCGUCAAAUCUGCGCAUGGGGGCGAAAGACUUAUCGAACCAUCUAGUAGCUGGUUACCGCCGAAGUUUCCCUCAGGAUAGCAGUGUUGUUCUUCAGUUUUAUGAGGUAAAGCGAAUGAUUAGGGACUCGGGGGCGCUUUUUAGCCUUCAUCCAUUCUCAAACUUUAAAUAUGUAAGAAGCCCUUGUUACUUAAUUGAACGUGGGCAU